AACGAACGCUGGCGGCAUGCCUAAUACAUGCAAGUCGAACGAGACGACCGGGACUAUGGGCCCACGGCUGCGUAACGCGUGGGAACCUGCCCUUAGGGUCGGAAUAACUCCCCGAAAGGGGUGCUAAUACCGGACAAUGUCUUCUGACCAAAGAUUUAUCGACCUUGGUUGGGCCCUCGUUGGAUUAGCUAGUGGGUAGGGUAAAAGCUGCCUAAGGCGAGAAUCCAUAGCUGGUUUGAGAGGAUGAUCAGCCACACUGAGACUGAGACACGGCCCAGACUCCUCCGCGAGGCAGGAGUGGGGGAUGUUGGAACAUCGGCUGAGGCAUGAUGCAGUUCUGACGGGUGAGUGCUGUAAUUAUUAGAGUUGUAAAGCUCUUUUACCCGGGCUCGUAAUGACGGUACCGGGAGAGAAAGCCCCGGCCAACUCCGUG
rnacentral:rRNA from 1 species